UUAGUAUAAAGGAGUAGCGAACGGAUGGCUAGGAUGUUACAAGUAAGGACGCUAUUAUGCGAAAGUCGGUGAAAUCCAGAUGAAGCCGAUAAGGGGGUGUAAACCCUAACAUGUAUUAUCUGAAGACCCUAAGAAUUGAAACAUCUUAGUAUUAGGAGAAAAAAAAAUCAAGCGAGAUUCCGUCAGUAGCGGCGAGCGAACGCGGAGGGACCAUUAAGCCUCUGUUUGUUCGAAAUCCAAAGAGGGUGGCAGCCCCGUAGAAUUUUCAGGGGAGUUCCCCACGGCCGAGGGCCGUGGGGCAAGGCUCAUAAGUAGAAUUAUUUGAAGAAAGGUGUUCCAUACAUCUAAGCCUUAAUAAUGUAAUAUACCAAUAGUUGACAAGUACUGUGAAGGAAAGUUGAAAGAGAUAGUAGUGAAAUAGAUCCUGAAAUUCGCUAUUCACAAGCAGACGGAUCGUCGUACCUUUUGCAUAAUGGGUUCGCAAGAUUAAUAUUUGGCAAACUUAAGUUAAUAAUGUAAGUGUAGUGAAGACGAGUUUUCAUUCUUAAUCCUCCGGGAUCCGCCCACGGCGGAUUUCAAGGGCGCACAGACAUCAUGGGCCGGGGCCGUCCGCCGAAGGCGGAUCCGCCGAAUCCCCGGGGGAUGAUGUCUGUGCGGGAAGUUAUUUGAAAACAGAGCAUUAGUCAAAUAGAACCCGAAACCAAGUGAUCUAGCCAUGGGCAGUUUAAAGCGAGGGGAAUACCUUUGUGGAGGAACGCACCGGUGAUUGUGGCAAAAAUCUCGGAUGACCUGUGGUUGGGGGUGAAAUGCUAAUCGAACUUGGAAAUAGCUGGUUUUCUGCGAAAACUAUUGAAGUAGUGCGUCAUACAUGUUAUGUUUGUAUUAUUCUUAUAUGGUAAAGCACUGAAUGGGUACAUCUAUAAGAAGUAUCUAAUGAAACUAUGAAAGUGUAAGAAGAAAGUAUGAUAGACAGACAGUGGGCGAGAAGGUCCAUUGUCAAAAAGGAAACAACCUAGAUCCGAAGUUAAGGUCAUGAAAUAUCGAUUUAUCUAAGUGUAAAAGGGGAUUGAAGAUUUAGAUAAUGAGAAAGUAGGCUUGGAACCAGCCAUCUUUGAAAGAUUACGUAACAGUUCACUCAAUAAAUUAAUAAACCCCUAAAAUUAUGGUGGCUUAAGUUGGAGCGAAGCUCCGAACCGAAACUCUGAAUAAAAUGAUGAUACGUGGAAUAAAUAAGUUUAAUUCCCCCCGGAUCCUUGAUCCCCGCCAAAGGCGGCCAUCCCAUCCCCUCGGGGAUGGGAUGGGGGGAUGGGACCUUACCCUAUUCCAUCAAUAUGGUAGCAGAGCGUGCUGUAUAUUCUGAUUCCCUAAUUGAAGGGCGGCGGAAUGCGAAAGCGUAUAUCAGAAGUGAUAAUGCGAACAUGAGUAAAAAACAAUGUGAAAAUCAUUGCUCACGGCCCAAGGUUUCCAAUAAUAGGAUUAUCCGAAUUGGGUUACACAGCCCCUAAGACCUAAAAUCCUUCGGCGAGUGGACAAAACUUAAAGGAAUGCCAAAUGGGCCUUACCCAUCCGCGUCCGAUCGAAGAUCCCCGCCAAAGGCGGCGAUCGAAGAUCCCCCCGGAUCAAGGAUCCGGGGGGAUUAAGAGUCACUCAUUAUUGUUGUCGAUGGGGUGUAAUAAUAAGCACUUGGGUGUCAAAAGAAAUUAUUUUUAAUUCGGAACUUAGCCUUUGGCGAUGUUUUGAUUUCGCACGGGGGAUCAUCCCCGAGGGAUGAUUCUUCGAGCGGAAUUCUUUGGCUGUACUAAAACUAACACAAGUGGGCAGAAAGUGAUGGGAUAAUUUAUCUUAAGGAACUCGGCAAAAUGUCCCCGUAAGUUCGCAAGAAGGGGAGCCGGUAAGAGACAGAAGUGAUAAGCAUUAAGCUUUUAACCCUCCGGUCGCCCCGAAGGGGCAUCCCCCCGGAUCAAGGAUCCGGGGGGAUUAAGGUUAAUCGGUAACCGAAAGUUAUCGAUCUUUCACUUAAUUUACUGGUCUCAGAAAAGAGGGGGUAUCGACUGUUUACCAAAAACAUAGCUUCCAGCGAAGGGCCGGGGGCCCGAAGUAUUGGAGGUGAGACCUGCCCAAUGAUUGUAUCUAAAAUCAAGUAAUAAAAUAAGUUACUGGAGUAAGGACAAUUAAAUGGCCGCGGUAAAUCUGACCGUGAUAAUGUAGCGCAAUCAAUAGCCAAUUAAUUGUUGGCAAGUAUGAAUGGUGUAACGAAUGCCCUACUGUCUCAAGAUAAAACCCAAUGAAAUUGAAAUCGUAGUGAAGAUGCUACGUACAAAUUGUAAGACGAGAAGACCCCAUUGAGCUUUACUGGAAACUUAUAUUGUACUUUUUAAAUUAUUGUGUAGAUUAUGUGGGCAGAUCGACCGAUANCCGAACAUCACAGUAUGCCCCGGACCUAAAGGAUUCGGAGGAUUCUCUUACCCAUCCGCCGCCCGAUCGAAGAUCGGGCGGCGGAUGGGGCGGAUUACCCCGGAUCAAGGAUCCGGGGGGAUCCGCCCCCGCCGAAGGCUGGGGCGGAUUUAUUUACUGGAGGUGUUGAUCAAUCAUAACCGAGAGCGGGAGUUGAUAUCGUCCUUCGGGAAAUGAAAAACCACUCUUUAAUUAUUUAAAGUUAUUAACACUUGUGCGUGGAGUGGAAAGGUUUAAGUUAGACAGUUUGGUUGGGGCGACCUCCUUCUAAAAAGUAACGAAGGAGUACAUAAGGUUAAAUUUGAAUAAACAACAACAAGCCUGACAGCAAGGGGGACAUCCGAGCUGACACUGGAUGGCAUGCCCACGGCCCCCCCCACCAUUAGGUGGGGGCGGCCGUGGGCGGGGGGAUCCCCCUUUUGUUUCCGGUGGGUUAUAUGACCCGUUAGUAAAGAGUGGAAUUGCUAACGAGUAACGAAUAAAAGUUACCAUGGGGAUAACAGCGUAAUAUCGUUCGAGAGCUCAUAUCGACGACGAUGUUUGCGACCUCGAUGUUGAAUUGCGGUAUCCUGGGGGUGCAGCCGCUCCCAAGGGUUGGACUGUUCGUCCAUUAAAACCGUCCAUGAUUUGAGUUCAGACCGGCGUGAGCCAGGUCGGUUUCUAUCUACAAUUUGAACAGGAAACAUUAGAUCGACCCUUCCUGAAGGGGUCCGCCGCCGCCGCCGCCUUUGGCGGGUCGGCCUUUUAGGCCGUUUGGCGGGGGGGAUCCGGGGGGGGAUCGGGGGUCUGCCCCUUUCUGAUUUUGAGAUAUAACUACAUUCUAGUACGAAAGGAUCGAAUGACUAGUUAUCCGCUGGUGAACCAAUUUUGAAAGGCAAUGUUGGGUAGCUACGAUAAGAUAAUAAUCCCUGAAAGCAUCUAAAGGGAGAAGUACGGUAUUAUUCUCUGUUUCUAUAGACCGUUUAAGAAUAAAACGUGGAUAGGACCUUGAGUGUUUCAGGAGCUAGGGUUACUAAAGUUCUUUAUACUAAGA
rnacentral:rRNA from 1 species